GCCUGAGUGGCUCAGUCCGUUAAGCAUCUGACUUCAGCUCAGGUCACGAUCUCUUGGUUUGCGAGUUCGAGCCCCGCCUCGGGCU
rnacentral:tRNA from 1 species